GACGAACGCUGGCGGCGUGCUUAACACAUGCAAGUCGAACGGAAAGGCCCUGCUUUUUUGGGGUGCUCGAGUGUCGAACGGGUGAGUAACACGUGAGUAACCUGCCCUUGACUUUGGGAUAACUUCAGGAAACUGGGGCUAAUACAGGAUAGGAGCUCCUGCUGCAUGGUGUGGGUUGGAAAGUUUCGGCGGUUGGGGAUGGACUGGCGGCUGAUCAGCUUGUUGGUGGGGUAGUGGCUUACCAAGGCUUUGACGGGUAGCCGGCCUGAGAGGGUGACCGGCCACAUUGGGACUGAGAUACGGCCCAGACUCCUACGGGAGGCAGCAGUGGGGAAUAUUGCACUAUGGGCGGAAGCCUGAUGCAGCAACGCCGCGGGCGGGAUGACGGCCUUCGGGUUGUAAACCGCUUUCGCCUGUGACGAAGCGUGAGUGACGGUAAUGGGUAAAGAAGCACCGGCUAACUACGUG
rnacentral:rRNA from 1 species